ACAGCAGUCGCCGCGGGAAUACGUAGGUCCCGAGCGUUGUCCGGAUUUAUUGGGCGUAAAGCGAGCGCAGGCGGUUAGAUAAGUCUGAAGUUAAAGGCUGUGGCUUAACCAUAGUACGCUUUGGAAACUGUUUAACUUGAGUGCAAGAGGGGAGAGUGGAAUUCCAUGUGUAGCGGUGAAAUGCGUAGAUAUAUGGAGGAACACCGGUGGCGAAAGCGGCUCUCUGGCUUGUAACUGACGCUGAGGCUCGAAAGCGUGGGGAGCAAACAGGAUUAGAGACCCCCGUAGUCCCUGUCUCUUAUACA
rnacentral:rRNA from 1 species